rnacentral:tRNA from 1 species
GAGAGUUGGCAGAGUGGUAAUGCAACGGACUCGAAAUCCGUCGAACCGCCUUUAUGCGGUGCGCAGGUUCAAAUCCUGUACUCUC